AUCAACAGAAUUUAUGUAGUAAGCACAUUAUCGUAUAGUGUUUUUUAACCGACUAUGUUUUUCAUUUGUGCUGACUAUACAAAUGGUCAAUAAACGGGUGUACUUUGUUAUUGUCACAUAAAGUUACAAUACAGCAGACAAUUUCGUAACACUUCAGUGAUAGAUUUGAAAAAAAGUAUAUUGUGACUUAUAUUGUGCAAUUUGGAAGGUCUUGCAGAAACAACAUCAAGCGAUUGAUGAAAACGACGAACAUCAUCCGAUUCCCGGAUUCAAAUCGCUCGAAUCCGACGGAAAAAAUAACAAUAUAUGGCAGGAAAAACUUCACCGAACAGAGCCUGGGAUCAACAAUUGCA